rnacentral:snRNA from 1 species
AGACAAAGUCAUCUGGCUGUCUGCCUAUUGAUCGCUAGAGUGGACUUAGCUGAUCUGGCUGCCUGGGUGAAUUUUUCAUUUCUCCUCACAGCAUCUUUACGCAAACCUCCCAAAGCUGCAUCCUGAGAUGAAGAGCGAGUGUGAUGCUCUCUGUCAGGCACACAAGUAUCUCCUUCUAUACCCUCCAAACAAGAUUAAAGUCCAACUGUAGAAUACAGAGCUGCCAAGCCUCCAAGUCUUGAGAUACUGAAAUGAAAACUUAUAUACAGCAAUGUGCUUUUCACU